UCUGGUUCAUCAGCUGGGACUUGUUCUUGC
rnacentral:piRNA from 1 species